rnacentral:tRNA from 1 species
GAGGGGAGGUUUCAACCAACAAGAACUGCUAAUUCCUGUAUCUGAGUCUAAAACCUCAGCCCCCUUA